CAUGUCUGAUAGUGUAGUGGUAGUGUUGUCAGAAGAUGAAGAACAAUUCCUGCUGACCUCAACACCUCUGCCUCUGUCCAAGAACAAUUUUCACCAUCCCUAAGUACACCUGGAGGCCUCAAUACCAGCGUCAGCAGCAUUGAAGCUGUAGGUGAAACUGAAAGCUAUCAGCCUGAGUCAACCAUCACCCCCACAUCAAUAUCAUCAUCAGAUUAUGAAGGUCUGGCGUGAAAAGAAGCUAUUUGUCAAUGAAUCCAGCCUCAUGUCACUCUUCAAAUUUUGCCAGAUGUGCGGGAAACCAAUUUCGUCAAAGACUAUCGUUGACUUUGGGGCACAGAGGAAGGUGGAUUGGACAUGUCUUGGGGACCAUUCUGGGACUUGGACUUCUUCACCUGACGUUAGGGGAAUGCCAGAGGUGAACCUCCUUGCAGCAGCAGCUAUUCUGUUCAGGGGGUGCACAUACACAGAAAUCUCAGACUGGUGCAAGACCAUGGGUGUCCAAAUGAUGGGACAGACUACAUUUUACAACAUCCAGAAGGUAUACCUGCACCCUGCUAUCGAGGAAGUGUAUAGUAAAAAAAGAACAGAACUCUUGGAGUGUAUUUAGAACAGGAGGAUGGAUGGGAAGAGGCCGCACUUGACGGGUGAUGGCUGAUGUGACACGCCAGGUUUCAGUGCAAAAUACUGCCAUUACACCUUUAUGUCAGAUGACACAAAGGAGAUACUCCACAUAGAACUGGUGCAGGUUACUGAGGCCACCAGCUCUGUUACCAUGGAACCACUGGCUUUCAAAAGGUGCAUGACUGAACUGAUAGACCAGGGCCUUGAUGUGGAGGUGAUGGCCACAGAUCACUCCACAUCUAUUCAAAAAAUAAUGAGGAAACAAUUUCCUAAUCUCCAACAUGAGUUUGACAUCUGGCACACAGCCAAAGGUUUCCAGAAGAUGCAGAAGAAGGGGAAGAAAAAAGGCCAAUGAAAUCCUCCUUGCAUGGAACAG